rnacentral:snoRNA from 1 species
GAAAAGUGAUGAAGAAUCUUUUGCAAAGUUCAGCAGACAAACUAAGAAAAGUCAACGAUAAGUAGCGAAAUGACUUGUGCAGUCUAGUUGACACUUUGU